rnacentral:lncRNA from 1 species
UGACUGGAAUACAAAUAUAAAGGUGAUCCUUUGUUCAGGGAGUGUAAUGAGGGGCUGGGGAAAAGAGAUGGCCUUUUUUAGCUUUCAGAACUGGUGUAUAACAAUGUGCUAAGGGUGUCUUGGGAAUUAUGAAAGGAGAAAAGGAGCUGGGUGCUCUCCUGAUUCAAUGGCACUCAGGUCCCUUCCGAAGGAACCAGCAACGCCAGCGGGGGUCUUAGGCCGAAUCCCAACAAGAAAGGUUACAGAAGGACGGCGAGCCGAGACAAUCCGCUGCGGCGCACGGAAAACUUCCCUGGGACGCGGGAGGCUGGGAAAACCCAAGGCAAAACGCCGUUAUGAAAGGGAUGAGUUCACCCGCUCGGUUCCUGCGGGUCACUCGAGGAAGGAAACAAUUAUGUGUCCCUUCCUCCCACACCCGCCCUGGGCCCUAGCCGGCGCCGCUGCCUGAGGACGGCGACCGGCACCCUCCAGCCCUCCCUCCCCGAGCCGUCGCCUCAGGGCUAACGGCCGUUGUCCCGCCCCGCGCGCCAGAAGACCCCUGCCUGGCACGGGCCGCGGUGGUCCGGCGGGGGGCGGAGGGCGCCGCACGAUUGGCCGGCGGCGAGCCAAGC